CAGCCGACAGUUUUCUUCUUCAUUCUCUUAUGUUUGUGAAAUUGAAUAAAGACGUUGAUGAUGUUGAAAUCAAGAGCUUUGUUGGUGUCUGAGUUGGAUGAGAAGCGAAAAUUAAGGGUUUAACAGUUUAGAGAUCAGUGGGUAUUCAUCAAUCGAAGUUUGAGAGCAAAGAAGAAAAAGGAGUUUUGGGUUUCCGAAUUCUCAAAGUUCGACAGAGAAGAGGGUUCUGCUAAUCGAAUCACAGAAGAAGAACAAGUGGAUUUGAAUGAAAGUCUCAGAGAAAGGGAUAAAUUGAGGUUUUGUGGUCAAGUAAUAGAUGGGUUUGAUGAUUCGAGAGGCUUGGAAGGAAGAGAAGAACAUGGAGAAAUAAUACAGGGUGUGGGUUUGAUUUGAGUUGAGCAUAAAUUCAUGGGGUUGUGAUGAUGAUUGUGUUGAUGGUGAAUGAAAUUGGAGCGAUUGAUGAUGAUUUAGGGUUCUUAAAAUAAGAAUCUAGGUCGAUUUCAGAUUCCAGUGUUGAAUUGAUGAUGUUUGCGAUUUUGUUCGAGGGAUUUUGUGUUACGUGAUCGAUAUUCAAGUACUGGGUUGUCUUCAGUUCACACUGUUGCAUCUCUUGAUUUUAGUCUCACUGUUGGUUCGAACCAUGGAGUUGAUGUUGUUGUUGUUCUGGUGAGUGUAGGUGGCCUGAGAUGAUAUUGCAGGUGGCUGCUUAGAUGUAUCCUUAGGUCACAGGAGGUGGAUAUGCUGGUGUCAGUUGGUAAUGCAGUUGCAGUUGGAGAUGUGACUGAGAUGAAGUUGCAGUUAAUAUUGCAGCUGGAUGCUCGAGUUUUGUAUGAAUUUGAGAUUGUUCGAGUCACUGGUGAAUUUUAGAGACAGAAAAGAAGAUGUUCUCUGCUAGUGAUUGUAUAAUGGAAUGGGCUGCAAUUGCAGUCAAUGUUAAUGGAGGAGCUGAACUGUAGACGUAUGUUUAGGAAUGAAUUGGUACAGUGUGAAUACAAGACUGAGAAAGAGAUGGUUUGAUGCAGGAAUUUACAGGGAGGUGUUGCUUGAAUUGCUUAGCUCAAACUGGUGACAUUACAAGCUGAGUUAAAGAUGGAAGCAGAGAGGGGUCUAAACUGAAGUUGCAGUGAGAUGGUUGGUGAUACUCCCAUGGCUAGGUAGUGAUGAAUUCAAGCUGUAAUUGACGGAGAUGUUGUUGUUGAAGCUUAAUGAUAAGCGGAGUACAUGUAUGUGCUGGUCUGGAGUAAGGGAAGAUAAUGGAUGCGCAGGUCUGAAUUGCAGGUGAUGGCUGAGCAGUUGUGGGAUUGAAGCCACAGAAAACUGAAGAGAUGGAGGGAAUUAUGGAUUUUGUAUGGUGAAGCUGAAAGAGUUGUAUUUGUUGCAUUUCAUGGAAGUAAUGUAUUGAAGGUGGUUUUGAGGUUGUGCAGUUGAGAUUUAAAUCAAGGAUGAAGCAGCUAAGAGUACAGGAAUUGCAGCAGCUAUAAAAAUGGAAUGAUGUGCCGAAUGUAUAUGAACUAAGCAUGAGAAUGGUUGAAUGCAUGUUGGUGGACUGGUUUGUAUUAUAGAGCAUGGUGUUGGUGUUGCACGCAAUAACACGAAGUGGAGUUGAUUUGGAGCAGCAGAAGAAGGGGCUAUCAUGGCUGGGACUCGACUCGACUCGGCAUUUCAAAUCAAUGAUUCAAGAAAAUCCAACUCUACUCAGGAGGAAUGGCGUUUUGGACAUUUUGACCCUUCCACCUAAGCAUUAACAGCUGCUAACUGCAUGUUGCCGUUUUUUGACGGUCAAGGCAAAGCAAGGGUACUUUAACAAAUUUUAAAAAACGGGGGCAUUUUUUUAGUGUAAUGUUAAAAGUAGGGGUACUUUAUCAAAAAGCCCAUAAUUCGAUGAUUCAAAUGUUAUAAACUGGUCCAAGUUUGG